UACGGAAGGUAGCAGUGGGGAAUAUUGCACAAUGGGCGCAAGCCUGAUGCAGCCAUGCCGCGUGUAUGAAGAAGGCCUUCGGGUUGUAAAGUACUUUCAGUCGUGAGGAAGGUGUUAAGGUUAAUAACCUUAGCAAUUGACGUUAGCGACAGAAGAAGCACCGGCUAACUCCGUGCCAGCAGCCGCGGUAAUACGGAGGGUGCGAGCGUUAAUCGGAAUUACUGGGCGUAAAGGGCACGCAGGCGGUUAAUUAAGUUGGAUGUGAAAUCCCCGGGCUUAACCUGGGAAUGGCAUUCAAGACUGGUUAGCUAGAGUCUUGUAGAGGGGGUAGAAUUCCAUGUGUAGCGGUGAAAUGCGUAGAGAUGUGGAGGAAUACCGGUGGCGAAGGCGGCCCCUGGACAAAGACUGACGCUCAUGUGCGAAAGCUGGGGAGCAAACAGGGAUUAGAUACC
rnacentral:rRNA from 1 species